AUUGAACGCUGGCGGCAGGCCUAACACAUGCAAGUCGAACGAGUGGCGGACGGGUGAGUAAUGUCUGGGAAACUGCCUGAUGGAGGGGGAUAACUACUGGAAAAGGUAGCUAAUACCGCAUACCAUAGAUAGUGCCCAGAUGGAUUUAGCUCGUUGGUGGGGUAAAGGCUCACCUAGGCGACGAUCCCUAGCUGUGCUAAGAGGAUGACCAGCCAUACUGGAACGGAGACACGGUCCAGACUCCUACGGGAGUCAGCAGUGGGGAAUAUUGCACAAUGGGCGCAAGCCUGAUGCAGCCAGGCCGCGUGGAUGAAGAAGUCCUUCGGGUUGUAAAGUACUUUCAGCGGGGAGGCGUUACCAGCAGAAGAAGCACCGGCUAACUCCGUGCCAGCAGCCGCGGUAAUAC
rnacentral:rRNA from 1 species